GACGAACGCUGGCGGCGUGCUUAACACAUGCAAGUCGAACGCUGAAGCUUGGUGCUUGCUCUGGGUGGAUGAGUGGCGAACGGGUGAGUAAUACGUGAGUAACCUGCCCUUGACUCUGGGAUAAGCCUGGGAAACUGGGUCUAAUACUGGAUAUGACAUGCCACUGCAUGGUGGUGUGUGGAAAGGGUUUUAUUGGUUUUGGAUGGGCUCACGGCCUAUCAGCUUGUUGGUGGGGUAAUGGCCUACCAAGGCGACGACGGGUAGCCGACCUGAGAGGGUGACCGGCCACACUGGGACUGAGACACGGCCCAGACUCCUACGGGAGGCAGCAGUGGGGAGUAUUGCGCAGUGGGCGGGAGCCUGAUGCAGCGACGCCGCGUGAGGGAUGACGGCCUUCGGGUUGUAAACCUCUGUCAGCACAGAAGAGGCGAGAGUGACGGUACGUGCAGAAGAAGCGCCGGCUAACUACGUG
rnacentral:rRNA from 1 species